AUUGAACGCUGGCGGCAGGCCUAACACAUGCAAGUCGAACGAGUGGCGGACGGGUGAGUAAUGUCUGGGAAACUGCCUGAGGGAGGGGGAUAACGACGGGAAACGGUAGCUAAUACCGCAUAACAUGGGAUGUGCCCAGAUGGGAUUAGCGAGUAGGUGGCGUAAAGGCUCACCUAGGCGACGAUCCCUAGCUGGUCUGAGAGGAUGACCAGCCACACUGGAACUGGGACACGGUCCAGACUCCUACGGGAGGCAGCAGUGGGGAAUAUUGCACAAUGGGCGCAAUCCUGAUGCAGCCAUGCCGCGUGUAUGAAGAAGGCCUUCGGGUUCUAAAGUACUUUCAGCGGGGAGGCGUUACCCGCAGAAGAAGCACCGGCUAACUCCGUGCCAGCAGCCGCGGUAAUAC
rnacentral:rRNA from 1 species